rnacentral:rRNA from 1 species
AACCGGAGUUUAAUUCGGGGCUCCGGCCCGAUCCUCCCACCCUUUGUGUACCUACCUCUGUUGCUUUGGCGGGCCGCGGUCCUCCGCGGCCGCCCCCCUCCCCGGGGGGGUGGCCAGCGCCCGCCAGAGGACCAUCAAACUCCAGUCAGUAAACGAUGCAGUCUGAAAAACAUUUAAUAAACUAAAACUUUCAACAACGGAUCUCUUGGUUCUGGCAUCGAUGAAGAACGCAGCGAAAUGCGAUAAGUAAUGUGAAUUGCAGAAUUCAGUGAAUCAUCGAAUCUUUGAACGCACAUUGCGCCCUUUGGUAUUCCGAAGGGCAUGCCUGUUCGAGCGUCAUUACAACCCUCAAGCUCUGCUUGGUAUUGGGCACCGUCCUUUGCGGGCGCGCCUCAAAGACCUCGGCGGUGGCGUCUUGCCUCAAGCGUAGUAGAACAUACAUCUCGCUUCGGAGCGCAGGGCGUCGCCCGCCGGACGAACCUUCUGAACUUUUCUCAAGGUUGACCUCGGAUCAGGUAGGGAUACCCGCUGAACUUAAGCAUAUCAAUAAGCGGAGGA